AACGCGAAGAACCUUACCAAGGCUUGACAUAUACCGGAAAAGCGUAGAAAUACGCUCCCCGUAAGGUCGGUAUACAGGUGGUGCAUGGUUGUCGUCAGCUCGUGUCGUGAGAUGUUGGGUUAAGUCCCGCAACGAGCGCAACCCUCGUCCUAUGUUGCCAGCACGUAAUGGUGGGAACUCAUGGGAGACUGCCGGGGUCAACUCGGAGGAAGGUGGGGAUGACGUCAAAUCAUCAUGCCCCUUAUGUCUUGGGCUUCACGCAUGCUACAAUGGCCGAUACAGAGGGCUGCAAUACCGCAAGGUGGAGCGAAUCCCAAAAAGUCGGUCUCAGUUCGGAUUGAGGUCUGCAACUCGACCUCAUGAAGUCGGAGUCGCUAGUAAUCGCAGAUCAGCAACGCUGCGGUGAAUACGUUCCCGGGUCUUGUACACACCG
rnacentral:rRNA from 1 species